AUUGAACGCUGGCGGCAUGCUUUACACAUGCAAGUCGAACGGCGGCGCGUGCUUCGGCUUCGCAGCGAGUGGCGAACGGGUGAGUAAUGCAUCGGAACGUGCCCAGUCGUGGGGGAUAGCCCGGCGAAAGGCGGAUUAAUACCACAUACCAUCUGAGCGUGAAAGCGGGGGACCGAGAUGCCUCGCUGCAUUGGAGCCGCCGAUGUCGGAUUAGCUAGUUGGUGGGGUAAAGGCUUACCAAGGCGACGAUCCGUAGCUGGUCUGAGAGGACGACCAGCCACACUGGGACUGAGACACGGCCCAGACUCCUACGGGAGGCAGCAGUGGGGAAUUUUGGACAAUGGGGGCAACCCUGAUCCAGCCAUGCCGCGUGCGGGAAGAAGGCCUUCGGGUUGUAAACCGCUUUUGUUCGGGAAGAAAUCCUCUGGGCUAAUACCCCGGGGGGAUGACGGUACCGGAAGAAUAAGCACCGGCUAACUACGUG
rnacentral:rRNA from 1 species